GACGAACGCUGGCGGCGUGCUUAACACAUGCAAGUCGAGCGAUGAAGUUCCUUCAGGAAUGGAUUAGCGGCGGACGGGUGAGAAACACGUGGGUAACCUGCCUCAUAGAGGGGAAUAGCCUUUCGAAAGGAAGAUUAAUGCCGCAUAAGAUUGUAGUAUCGCAUGAUACAGCAAUUAAAGGAGUAAUCCGCUAUGAGAUGGACCCGCGUCGCAUUAGCUAGUUGGUGAGGUAACGGCUCACCAAGGCGACGAUGCGUAGCCGACCUGAGAGGGUGAUCGGCCACAUUGGGACUGAGACACGGCCCAGACUCCUACGGGAGGCAGCAGUGGGGAAUAUUGCACAAUGGGGGAAACCCUGAUGCAGCAACGCCGCGUGAGUGAUGACGGUCUUCGGAUUGUAAAACUCUGUCUUCAGGGACGAUAAUGACGGUACCUGAGGAGGAAGCCACGGCUAACUACGUGCCAGCAGCCGCAGUAA
rnacentral:rRNA from 1 species